AUGAACAUGUGGUGGAAAGAAUGUUUCCAUGUCCAUAUGCCUCCUUUUCUUAUUAUUCGUACUAAGGUGAGGUGCCUUAUAUCUCAUCAGUUGUCGACAUGGAGUUCCCCAUGGUGUCCUAUUUGGAGCUCUAUUUAUGAUCAUCUCAUAAUUCAGCAUCAGCCUUACAUUUAUCCUUCCAAUCUUAAAAAUCUAUGGAAACCUAACAAUAAAGCUUGGAAUGAAAAUCUUAUUUACUCUCUGUUUGAUGCUGAGGCAGCAAGCAUUAUUCUCCAAACCCCCAUAAUUCAAACGGAGGGUAAAGAUAUCAUGUGUUGGAAACACACCCCAACAGGUUUGGAAAGACAAUAG
rnacentral:rRNA from 1 species